GAUGAUGUUGGGUAAUCGGGAUAAGGCAUCUAUCCUGCUGAUGGCUAGGACUGAUUGGACUGAUCUGGCUGGCUAGGUAGGUGUCCCCUUCCUUCCUCACUGUAUCACGUGCAUUCCUCCCCUAAGCUGUGUGCUCAGUGUAAGAAGGCACUCUCCUUUGAAUAGAAAUGGACCAGUCUUUGGUUUGAGGGUAUAUUAGUAGCUUCUCUCCUAUGGUAGAACUUCCAAACAGGCUCUCAAGGUCAGAUCCAACUGCUAUUUCUAUUUCAAAAUGUAUGGGCAUGACUGUUUCAGUGAUCUCUUCCUGU
ensembl:misc_RNA 7SK 7SK RNA